CGCACUUCGCACAGUGUCGAAGCACACACACCCUCGCACAAGCUCUUGGCCGCCUUUUCACCUCCUCCGCACCCCUUUGGGCGAGAGAAAUGGCCCUCCUUGCGCCCAAGGCGCUGCACAAGCGCGUCAAGGGCACAAACGUGGAGGUACGCAAGGAGGUGACGGACGACAACACCGACGCACAGCUGGCCCUCCUCUACUCGAUUCACGCUGAUGAUGAGACAGAGCUGCGGUGGCUCCACAACACGCUGCGGCCGGAGCGCAACCUGGUCCACCCCUCCGACGCCUUUCUGCACGGCAUGAAGGCGCUGCACCCAGCCGCCGUCUUUAACACGUUCGACGUGAAGAAGGCGAAGCUGCGACGACUCACGAAGUACGAGAAGGACAAAGAGACCGCCAUGAAGCGGCGCAAGAAGGAGGUGGCCCCCACCGCUGCCUACAAGGCCGCCGUCAACCCCCACAAGACCCCACGCACCGGCGGAGCGGCGCCAGCUGAUGAGGUGCGCGUGCUGUCGCGGGGCAUGAACAAGGUACAGAAGGCGCGUAGCCGCACACGGGCUGCCCAUAAGUCUGGCAAGGUGGUCAACGGCGCCGAGGCGCCAAAGGCUUUCUUCACCAAGUGGAAGAAGCGCAAGCAGGAAAAGAUCGGCCGGGGUCUGUGACGCCGUGCGUGCGUGACUAUGUUCUCUGCGUGUGCGCAUUCGGAUGCGUCUGUUCUUUCAUUGUAGCUCCAUGCCGCUGCUGUGACGGCAUGGAAAAUGCGGCUCUCUGGCCCUGUAUGCUGACACAUAUAUACGCGCCCGUCCCCUCUUGAUUUUUCGGCACAUUUUUAAGCGGUUAAGCCAUCCAUCGAUCCUCCCGUGUCGUCUGUCUGUGUCUUGGUACGGAGGGGAGGGGGGGUCGCCUGAUCAUGAUACCUCCCCCUCCUCCUCCUCCUCCUCCUCCCCCCCCUACACAGACACGCAUGCACAUGGCGGGGCUUGGUACAGCUCUCUUUAAGACGCGCACCCGUGGUCAAGCCAUCUUGGAGAAGCAGCUGCAUUCCCAGAAGAAUGAGCGCGUAAAACCGGAAAGGAGGGAUGAAAAACAGCAGAGCAACGCCCAUCGGCGACUUUCGUCUGCCUAUAUAUCUGUCUGUCUGUGUGCCGAGGAGUUCGGUGCCACC
rnacentral:misc_RNA from 1 species